AUUACACCGUAACUUCGGGAGAAGGUGUGCCUCUAGUAGGUGAAGGGCUUGCGCCUGGAGCUGAGGGAGGUUGCAGAGAAAUGGGGGUUGCGACUGUUUACCAAAAACACAGGACUCUGCGAAGUCGCAAGACGACGUAUAGGGUCUGACGCCUGCCCGGUGCUGGAAGGUUAAGGGGAGAAGUCAGCCGCAAGGCGAAGCCUCGAACCGAAGCCCCAGUAAACGGCGGCCGUAACAAUAACGGUCCUAAGGUAGCGAAAUUCCUUGUCGGGUAAGUUCCGACCUGCACGAAUGGCGUAACGACAUCCCCACUGUCUCGGCCAGCGACUCAGCGAAAUUGUAAUGGGGGUGAAGAUACCCUCUACCCGUGGCAAGACGGAAAGACCCCGUGAACCUUCACUGCAACUUGACAGUGAAGUUCGGGACAUUCUGCGUAGGAUAGGUGGGAGGCUUUGAAGUCGGGAUCCUGGUCUCGAUGGAGCCAACGUUGAAAUACCACCCUGGAUGUUCUGGACUUCUAACCUAGGCCCGUAUACCGGGUCGGGGACACUGUCUGGUGGGCAGUUUGACUGGGGCGGUCGCCUCCCAAAGCGUAACGGAGGCGCACGAAGGUUCCCUCAGCCUGAUUGGAAACCAGGCGCAGAGUGCAAAGGCAUAAGGGAGCUUGACUGUGAGACUGACAGGUCGAACAGGUGCGAAAGCAGGUCUUAGUGAUCCGGUGACUUCGUGUGAAGAGUCAUCGCUCAACGGAUAAAAGGUACUCCGGGGAUAACAGGCUGAUCACGCCUGAGAGUUCAUAUCGGCGGCGUGGUUUGGCACCUCGAUGUCGGCUCAUCGCAUCCUGGGGCUGGAGCAGGUCCCAAGGGUUUGGCUGUUCGCCAAUUAAAGCGGUACGCGAGCUGGGUUCAGAACGUCGUGAGACAGUUCGGUCCCUAUCUGCCAUGGGCGCAGGAUACUUGAAGGGAGCUAACCAUAGUACGAGAGGACCUGGUUGGACGUACCCCUAGUGUUCCGGUUGUUCUGCCAAGAGCAUAGCCGGGUAGCUAUGUACGGAACGGAUAACCGCUGAAAGCAUCUAAGCGGGAAGCCGGCCCUAAGAUGAGGUAUCCCGGGCUGCAAAGCCCCUGAAGGCCCCUCGAAGACUACGAGGCAAUAGGUGGGGUGUGGAAGCGCAGCAAUGCGCGUAGCUGACCCAUACUAAUCGGCCGUGAGGCUUGACCAA
rnacentral:rRNA from 1 species